UAUAAUUUAAAAUACAAUCUUAAGAAAAAAUUAUUUUAAAACUUUUUUUUUUCUUAUUGUAUCUGAUUAAGUAAUUAUGGAAUUUUUUAAAUUUAAUAAAUAUUGUAUCUUAGUAAUUUUGUUUGUUAUAAAUUUUUCAUUGUCAGUGUUAUGUUCACAUAGCAAUGAUAUUACACUUGAUGAAUAUUUAUUAGUUGAAAAGCCAGAUAAAGGUAUUAAAAAUAUCACCGUUA